UAAUGUUUAUUUAUUUUUGAAGGAGAGAGAGACAGAGCGUGAGCAGGGGAGGGGCAGAGAGUGAGGGAGACACAGAAUCCGAAGCAGGCUCCAGGCUCUGAGCUGUCAGCACAGAGCCCGACACAGGGCUUAAACUCAGGAACUCAGGGCAAGAUCAUGACCUGAGCUGAAGUCGGACCCUUAAUCGACUGAGCCACCCAGGCGCCCCUCACUGUUGAAUUUUACCUAUGGCUUUAAGUCACCUUGUUUUCUUCAUUCCGUUAAAAAAGAAAAGGGGUGGGGGGAGUCUCAGUAUUGAUGAGUAGUGGCAGAUUCUGUGGCAUUUUAGAUGCUUUCCAAUAAACGUAUGGAUGCCUUUCACAGGGAGCACGGGUUGUAUUUCAGCAUGCCCUCCUCCAGCAAGUUGGAAUUUAGGCCCUGGCUCCAAAGACCUUUUGAAAGCCAGAAAGCUCACCAAAAUAUAUGGCCAGAGUUAGUCUGUUUUGGCAAUGACACUUGCUUAUUAUGACAUACAAUUAAAUUACAUAGAUUUAAAAUUUUGUACAACAAGCCUCUUGCAGUUUGCAGAGGGAAAGGAGCAGGCAGAAGAGAAAUAUGAAUAUGGUCAUGCUCCUCUCUUCUGGAGCCUACGAUCUAGUGAUGGAAGAAUGUAAAUAAAUAUAGGUGGUCCACAAAGCAGAAAAUGCAUUUGAAGAUGGGAUGUCUAAAAGCAGAAGGGAGUUCUCUUUCUAGAUAGCUGAGAGUCAAUAAUUACAAAAUCCUUUAAUACAAUUCCUUCAGUCUCAGGUGCCCCCUGCCAGAAGUGAGAAACCACCCUACGGAGUCUGACGUCUACAGACAGCUUUAGCCCUCAGCUGCCAACAGCUAUUCAUGGAGGGAGUUAAGCCAGAACUAGGGCUCCCCACUCAAGCCCUGCUUUGGUUCCUCUUGAAUUGCGGAGAGGGCCAAUGACAGUGACACCUGAUCUUUAAACCCCAUAAGGUCUUGACCUAAGGGGACUCAGUGCUUUUACCAAUACAGUUGGAUCAGACCCCAGGUCCUCUAUGGGAUCACCACCAUUUAUGCUCUCCACUUCCUGUUGAGUCUCCUGGCUGCAAUCCAUCGCCCCCUGUUCCUCCGUGACCUCCAUAACUUCCCCUGCUACGGUGAUGAAGCCAAAGUGUGGGAGGCACAGAAGGGGAGGUUGGCAAGGGACACUCCUCUUGGAUAGGAGUUCUAAAUGUGCCAGCAAGCUCUUGGAGCCCUUUCACUGCAGAGGGGAGCAGCCUUGUGCUUCUUCAGGGUAGAGGACUGGCCACACAGCCUCCAACUACCGCCGACGGUCUUUCUUCCACCUCCCCCAUGGACUCCUAAUUUCAUCUCUCAGCAGCAGCUGCUCUCAGGCAACACCAGAGCUGGAAACUACCUGAUCUAUGAAAGCCUGACUUCUUCCAAGCAAAGGAGGGUUAGGGUGUGGAUGUACAGAGAAGUGUGAAAGUGCAGAUUAUUUGGAAAUGGGGGUCCAACCUUACGAGGUUAUGUGUUAGGUACUUACGUGUUAAGUACUGGAGUAGACCUGUGAAAGGAGAGGAGAGGGAGAUUAAUUCUGACUGCAGACACAGCUUCAUGGUGGCAUUUUAUUCGUUCCUUCACUCAAUACUAUGGGCCAGGUUUCAUGCGAAGCGCUAGUAAUACAACAGUGAACAAGACACACAUGAUCUCCAAACCUGUGGAGUUGAUUCUGACCUUGAGCAGUUUGCUUUAGCCUCACUUUCUUCAUCUGAGAAUUGGGAUGAUGGUGAUGAUAAUAAUAGUAAUAACACUCAUCUCCUAGAGUUGUUGAACAGAAUAAAAUGAGUUAAGAUGGGCAAGGUGCCUAGCAAAGUUCCUGGCACAUUGCAUUUUAUGUAAGUAUCACUACUAUUUUUACAGUCUAGUUGGGGAGAGACCUGUGAAGCAAAGCCAGAAUUGGAAGGUGGAAGAGUGGGCUGGCUGGAGACGAUGAAAGUCACAGUCUGAACAAAGCACAAAGGUGGGAAAAGCAGGAACAGCAAAUACCUAAGCCGAGUAACUAGAGUGCAGGGGGUGGAGGGUGUGAUACGAAGAAUAUUGGGAGUUAAGGCUGGACCAGGCAGGUUGGGCUUUGCUCAAGGAAAGCCUUGUAUAUCACACUAAAUGGCAGCUCUUCAUUCAGCAGGGGAGCCAGGUUAGUGCAAUGAUGAAGAGCGGUGACCACCACAGUCUCCAAGAUCAAACACCCAAGGGUGCUGGGCACCAUGACCGGCUUGGAACCAGACCAUUGUGCAAUUUGCAUGCACGGAGGGGCAGCAGGCAGACAUUGCUAUGCCAACCUGUGCCCCUGUGUCUGAGGAAAUCCGUGCCCUGAUGUUAGCCCGGAUUGUCAGCUUCCACAAAUCAUGUUGGAGAAGAGCUAAUGCAUUUUUAACCAACUUCAGCAAAUUGAAGCUCUUUGGUGCUGUAGUGUACUAAUACAAUUGCUGCUAACUCUCUGAGAGCGGCAUCUGGGUCCGGAAAUUCCCACUUACUGCGGUUGUGAGCUCCAGGAGAAGAGGAAUUAAUAAGUCAGAGUGUCUACACAGUUGCAAGGCUUUUUGUGGCUAUCAUCUAUUAUCUUCCACCAGAGGGUUCGCCUGUGUAACCAUCAAAAUAUCUCAAACAUGACAGACUCUGACCUCCAAGGCUGGGUCAUAAAAGACAUUGUGGCUUCCACUUUAUUCUCUUUUUGGAUCACUCAUCCAGAAGUAGUCAACUGCACGUCAUGAGGACACUCAAGCAGCCUUAAAAGAGGUCCACGUGGUGGAACUGAAGCCUUCUGCCAACAUUAGCACUAACUUGACAGCCACCUGACUAAGCUCUUCUGGAAGUGAUGCUCCGGCACCAGUCAAGCCUUCAGAUGACUACAGCCCAGGCCAGUAUCAUGAGACACUCUGAGCCAGAAACACCCAGCUAAGCACUCCUCAAUUCCUGAUGCACAGAAACUGUGUGUGAUAAUAAAUGUUCAUUGUUUGAAGUUA